AAAAAGUUAUUAAGGAUGACCUUAUUAGCUCUCCCUGCAAUUCGCGGAGCGUGCUGGAAAGCACGUAAUACUGCUGAAGAGAUGCAAAGAGAAGAUGCAGUUCUAUUAAGCCCAUCUUACUGGCAGAGCAGCUCCAUUUCCAUCUCCAGCUGUAGAGAAGACAGUAGUGACAAGAGUCUGCCCUCAUGCCCAAAGCACGUGUGCUAAUUUUGGAUGCAGAAUGGAAAAAAGAAGAGGGAACUUUAUCCUGAUCUCUUCCUCCAAUUAACUGGGGGCACUCACCUUAUAAGGCUUUUUAAUGGUUAAGAACAUAAAAAGGGGGAAAAUAAAGGGAUCUUGAGAUGGCGAAGGGUACUCUGCGAAUGAAGACUGGCAUCACAUCAAUAAUGCAUUAUUCUAUGAGCUUGAGGGUGAAAAAACUUCUACCACAAAUCCCUUGUCUCAUACUUUUAUUCCACAUACAGAGCUAAGUGUACCAGUUCUAGAUCUUAGUUUUUGAGGCUCAGGUUAGACCUUUAAGGCUAAAAUUACAGUCUUGCAUCUUAUGUGCUGACAGUUCAGUUUGAGAGUUACUUCUUAAUUUCUAGCAUUUUUCUACUCUCAUUUGAUUUUUAGUUACCAGACACUUGGACUUCUUUCUUUAGCCUUUAAAGACAUCAGUUGUCAGACUUUGUUCCUCAUUUACAUCCUCGCAGACUGCAAUCAUAGUUUAAAUCUUAACCUCCUCUUGUUUAAAUCCCCAAGCUCACCUGCAUGAGUGAUUAAUAAAAAAAAAAAUCCUCCAAUUUUUCAUUAUUCUUAAGGCUUUUCUCAUCUCUAAUUUAUUAAUAGCCUUUCUUGAAUGCGGAUAUUAAAAUGAAACUGUAUUCCAAUACUAUUCACCCUAAAGCAAAACUAACAGAAAUUCUUUAUUCC
ensembl:lncRNA